UCAUUAACGAAUAUAAAUCGGAAAGCUGUCGCUGGCCUCUGGGCAUGUGCACGCUGACCGUGUUUCAUAAAUUUCUCACCUGUGAACCUAAUGUAGGAUGCCUCUCUUUCGGGAGGGGGGACCUAUGUCUUCAUAUACAUCUCCGUGUAGAAAGUCUUAGAAUGUUUACUAUCAUAGAGUUGCGACUUCUAGGAGACGCGAAUCUGUGAGAUAAAAGUUAUUACAACUUUCAGCAAUGGAUCUCUUGGCUCUCGCAUCGAUGAAGAACGCAGCGAAAAGCGAUAUGUAAUGUGAAUUGCAGAUCUACAGUGAAUCAUCGAAUCUUUGAACGCACCUUGCGCUCCUCGGUGUUCCGAGGAGCAUGCCUGUUUGAGUGUCAGUAAAUUCUCAACCCCUCUUGAUUGAGGGAGUUUGGAUAGUGGGGGUUGCCGGAGACUUAGGACUCGGGCUCUCCUGAAAUGCAUCGGCUUGCGGUCGACUUUCGACUAUGCGCGACAAGGCUUUCGGCGUGAUAAUGAUCGCCGUUCGCUGAAGCGCAUGAAUGAAGGUUUCGCGCCUCUAAUACGUCGACUCUUAUUAUCUCUUCGGAGAGAAAAGGUCUUCUUUAUUGACUUUUGACCUCAAAUCAGG
rnacentral:rRNA from 1 species